ensembl:lncRNA
ACAAGACCUCCUUUGUUGUGCUGCAAUAACUGGGAGUGGCAGCGUUUAAAGUGAUACAAUUUGAGAUUUCCUAGAAGAUGCAGCAUGAUCAUUCUCUUGGAGGCUCUGAGACCACAAUCAGUCCUGGGGUUUCCCCAUGUGAUGGUGAUGGCAGCAAAAUGGUGGAGACUGCUCACUGUGUGCCUGGGUUGGCCUUCCUCUUGUGAUGAGUAGCUUCCAUGCAGACUCAUCUGUACUACUUCUACUGCAUGGCCAGAGUGCUCCCCUGCCUUGCACCAACUCUGAGAUUUAAUUCUAAAAUCUUAGUGUCUCCAAUGGUCAGUUUUAAAUGAUUCUUACGGAAAAGCCAAUCAGUCAAGCCAGAAAACCCUGCUUGGGCUUUUAUUUGAACAUAUGCAAAUAAUUUGUUGUUUAAAUCUCUGGAAACUCGCACGUGUUGAUUCAUUUUUCUGUAAAUCACCCAGCAAACACCAGGUUCUGUUCAUUUCUUGCAUGCACUUGAAAGAGGAGAAGAGGAAGAUAUCUAAGCUUGGAGAAUACCCAGGAAGGGCAGUGCUGAGGUUGUUCAAGGCUUUUUCUACUUGUUCUUCUAAUUUGUUCACAGUGGAGCAGGAUAAGAUGAGAAUUGUAGUUGGAAGUAUUGACUAAUACAAGUACUAACUGCUCCUCUCGAGGUCAUGUUGUUUUCAGGGACACUUGCAGCACCAACACAUGGUAAAGUUUUAGAAAAAAAUCUUCUGUAUUCCGUUGAUUUUGGAGGAAAAUGAUUUUAAUUCUUGAAAUUCUAACAUGAUUUUUGCUACUGUUGGCAAACCUGUGUUUAAACUGUUAUGUUUCUUAUUGAAAACUUUGCAAAUCCUCACUUGUGAGGGCAGAAUUAAGAACCAGAAUUAAGCACUCAAAGUUUUACAUUUCUACCAGGCACUUUCUACCACUGAGUUGUCACAUGGGUUCUUCUGAUGAAAGCUGACUUGCAAGAUGGAUAUGAAAAACCCUUGUAUUUAUACACACUGAGAAAAUAUAUUUGACAAGAUAAAAAUGAUCAUAUUUUAAUUGUCAUGCCUGAAAAAUAGUUAGAGUAUGGAAAAGAACAGGUUUUUUUUUUCACAGCUCUCAUUAGCUGAACUAAUCUGACUUUCCAUUUUGGCCUCUGCUGGCUCCCACUUCAUUGUGGGUAUCAUUAAUCAAGUAAAUCAAGCCUGCUGGCUUCUCCCUGUGUUAGUUCCACUCAUUGUAGAAUAGGUUGUAUGUAUUCCUCAGGCUGAAUUAGGCAUUAUGAAUGGAAUUAGAGGGUUGAUGGCAAUAUGGCUUGUGGAUCAAAAGGAGAGCAGCCCAUGUGAAAAGCUGUAGAUCUUCAGAACUUGCCCACAUGAAAAAUAGUAAAAACUGACGUUUAUCACUAAGACAGUAGCAUGAUUGUAUCAGCAAAAGAAACAGAUACCAACUAUUAGAUGGCACCAUCUUUUCCUAGCAGUUUCAAAGUGGAACUACCAUGAAAGAUGGUGUGAUGAGCUAGCUAGCCAAAUAGCACAGAGCUGAGGAACAUGUUCUGAAGUUCCGUGUACGCAGAUGGAUAACCAUUUAAUGUAAGAGAUGGUUUGUCUCAGAUUGAAUGCUGGCAGCUACUGGCCCUGGCAAAGAAAAA